GGCCCUGUCUCAAACCAUUGCCUCGCCACUUCGCCUUUGCAAGGGACACUACUGUAUAGGUUUCACCGCCAAAAGAACAGAGCGAUAAAGUGAUUUUGGCAACGAAAGAUUUGAGAAGAGACUCGGACCCACGCUCUGCUCAUCUGUGUGUCAUUCCAGGAAGCAGGAAAGAUUUUGUAUCCGAGCCAUCUGCUGUCGUUGGUUGCAGUGGAUUGUUGUACGGCCAAGAGACGGUACUGCGCAUGCGCCCUGGGGCACCAAGUAGCACACUACCUAACGUAGGGAGCGGAAUUUGUGAUUCUACUACAAAAUGGCGGACUCCAAAAGCAGCACACUAUAUAGUGAAUAGGGUGUGGUUUCGGACGUAGCCACAAGACAACAUGGCGAAUGGAGCCGAGGGCGAAGGCGGAGUGUGAUGCAAAGACUUUUGAGACAAGGCCUCAAAAUUCAAUACAGAAAAAGUUGUUUUUUUUACGUGCUGUUGGUUAAUAAAUAACUGUUUGGACGAUGAAACUGUAAAUUAUAUUUGGUUUCAUUUGUGUGUGUGUUCUACUUUUUCUUGGUUAUUAUAAAGGAAGUAAAGUAUAAGGAUAGACAUGUAUGUAAAUAAAGGUGGUGAUCUUUACACAGA